GAUGAAGAACGCAGCGAAAUGCGAUAAGUAAUGUGAAUUGCAGAAUUCAGUGAAUCAUCGAAUCUUUGAACGCACAUUGCGCCCGCCAGCACUCUGGCGGGCAUGCCUGUCCGAGCGUCAUUUCAACCCUCGAGCACCGCUCGGCGUUGGGGGAGCGGCCCGCGCGCCGCCCCCCGAAAUGCAGUGGCGACCUCGCCGCGUUCCUCCCCUGCGCAGUAGCUCUCAAGAGAACCUCGCAUCGGCGGCGCGGCGGCGGUCACGCCGUGAAACACCCCCCUCAAGAGUUGACCUCGGAUCAGGUAGGGAUACCCGCUGAACUUAAGCAUAUCAAUAAGCGGAGGA
rnacentral:misc_RNA from 1 species